UCAUUGAUGCUUCUGUUCGGCCUAAGGCU
rnacentral:piRNA from 1 species